UACGGAAGGCAGCAGUGGGGAAUAUUGCACAAUGGGCGCAAGCCUGAUGCAGCCAUGCCGCGUGUAUGAAGAAGGCCUUCGGGUUGUAAAGUACUUUCAGCGGGGAGGAAGGCGAUGCGGUUAAUAACCGCGUCGAUUGACGUUACCCGCAGAAGAAGCACCGGCUAACUCCGUGCCAGCAGCCGCGGUAAUACGGAGGGUGCAAGCGUUAAUCGGAAUUACUGGGCGUAAAGCGCACGCAGGCGGUCUGUUAAGUCAGAUGUGAAAUCCCCGGGCUUAACCUGGGAACUGCAUUUUGAAACUGGCAGGCUUGAGUCUUGUAGAGGGGGUAGAAUUCCAGGUGUAGCGGUGAAAUGCGUAGAGAUCUGGAGGAAUACCGGUGGCGAAGGCGGCCCCUGGGACAAGACUGACGCUCAGGUGCGAAAGCGUGGGGAGCAAACAGGAUUAGGAUACC
rnacentral:rRNA from 1 species